GACAGAGGGUGCAAACGUUGUUCGGAAUUACUGGGCGUAAAGCGCGUGUAGGCGGCUAUGUGUGUCGGGCGUGAAAUCCCAUGGCUCAACCAUGGAAGUGCACCCGAAACUGCGUAGCUAGAGUCCUGGAGAGGAAGGUGGAAUGCUUGGUGUAGAGAUGAAAUUCGUAGAUAUCAAGCGGAACACCGGUGGCGAAGGCGGCCUUCUGGACAGUGACUGACGCUGAGACGCGAAAGCGUGGGGAGCAAACAGG
rnacentral:rRNA from 1 species